GCAUGUUUCGCAAUGUCUGCUUCAAUUAUGUUGAUGCAUGUCUUGUUCUUGAACAGCACUUCCGUAAAAGUAAAGAAAAAACAAAACUUUUUCGCGUUUCAUUGUGUUUGUAACGAAAUGCAGGGAAUAUCGCAUUGGUAAAUCUUCCAAAUGGUUUUAUUGAGGCGAAUUUUUACAAUUGCUACCAUUGUAAACGUUGUCUCAAUGUCAAUUGCACACGGCGCAUGUGUGACGCAUGUUGUAACAGCCAUGACAUGUCACAUUCGACAUAAAAUUGCAUUUCGACAGUGAAAACCUCCCGCAUUGUGCGAUUACUUGAUUGUAACUUCUGCUGUGAUGAAAGUGACAAUCGAAAACAAGCAUAAAUUAUUAGAAAUUAAUGAAAAAACAUAAAAAACAUUCCUGUAAUACCUUCAAAGUUAAAAAACAAAAUGGCCGCCAUGGAAAACUUCUUAACUACAAUAAUAUUAAUACUUAUGCUUACAUUUGCACUCUGGUUAAUAUUUUCAGUUGUAAUUAAUGUGUACUUUGAAAUUUUAUCAAUAUUUUUUUCAUUUCCGCAAGAAAACCAAACUUAAAUUAAUUUCUUUUUUAAUUAAAUAAAAAAAGCAAUGAACUUGUUUACUCCACA